GCCCGCUUAGCUCAGUUGGUUAGAGCGUGGUGCUAAUAACGCCAAGGUCAUAGGUUCGAAACCUAUAGUGGGCA